AAUCCGGAAUCCUUUCACGGAUCCAUGCAAGCCUUCCCUGCCUUUCCUCCUUUUUUCCCUUUCCCUGUUCCGGCCCCCCUGGCCUCAAUUUUACUUACCGGGGUUUUUAGGACUUCUUCCCGGGGGCGGGAAAGAAAAACAAAGGAUCCCUGAGUACGGCGAAUGACAAGGAAAAGCCCAGCACCGAAACCUGGGGUCAUUUGGUCACUAGGCAAUGGGUGUUCAGGUCGUUCCAUAGAGGUGCUGCUCCACCCUAAGUCCAGCAAUGAGUACGGUGGUACGGACAUGGCCCACAGAGGGUGAAAGGCCCGUGGGGGUGGAGAUCAGGCAGCCCAGUGCCUCUCUGGGUAGACCUUGGAGUCGGGUUGUUUGUGAAUGCAGCCCAAAGUGGGUGGUAAACUCCAUCCAAGGCUAAAUACUUGCACGAGUCCGAUAGCGAACAAGUACCGUGAGGGAAAGUUGAAAAGUACUUUGAAGAGAGAGUAAACAGUGCGUGAAACCGCUCAGAGGUAAACAGGUGGAGUUGAACUGCAAGCUUUGGGGAUUCAGCUGGUGAGUGUGGUUUGAGCUUGGUCAAGUCGGUUGGACAUUGGGGUCUGUGUAGCAACAGGUCUCUGCCCUUGGGCAGGGAUGCGCGAUGCACUUAUCAGGUGUUGUGCGCCUCUUUGUUUAUCGGGCCAAUUUGCCAGUGCACUUUCUCAGAGUGUUCACCACGACCGGCACUGCUGUCUGACUACUGUGGUUAAACCGGACUUACAGAGCACUUGUGGUUUUGUAUGGCCGGGAAGGCAGGUAGCUCGUUGGCUAGCUUGUGGUUUACUGCAGGCGUUUGGUCUUCGAGUGUAAUUAGCUGACCACGAUUGUUCUGUGCGGUGUGUCGGAGACGGCGGCUUGUGGUACUUGCGUGCGUGCCGGUCCUGCUGGCGUGUUCGGGUUUGGUUGCCAUGUUGCUUGUGAAUGCAGGCCUGGUGAUAGCUCGGAUUCGUUCAGUUGGCGGUUGCGUGCGUGGUGCCGUUAAGGGCCAACAGUCUGUGGUGUAGUGGUAGACUAUCCACCUGACCCGUCUUGAAACACGGACCAAGGAGAGUAACAUGUGCGCGAGUCAUUGGGCGUAACGAAACCCACAGGCGCAGUGAAAGUAAAGGCCCGGCUUGUCCAGGCUGAAGUGAGAUCCUGUCGUUUUCACGCAUGGUACCACCAAGCAACGAGCGGCAGGCGCAUCACCGGCCCGUCCCAUGACGUAGACACAUAAUCUUCGGACCAGUGCACCGUCGGGGCGGAACAUGACCGUACAUGUUGAGACCCGAAAGAUGGUGAACUAUGCUUGCCCAGGUUGAAGCCAGAGGAAACUCUGGUGGAGGACCCAACCGAUUCUGACGUGAAAUCGAUCGUCAAACGGAAGUAAGGGGCGAAAGAUAAUCAAACCAUAAGACUGCCCCUCAAGUUUUCCCCCGAAGAAGAAGAAAAUAAAAGGUUGGUUUUUUAAUGGACCGACGACUAGCUACAUGCGGUCGUCCGUACUUACUCAUUGACUAUGACUUACUGGUGGAUCG
rnacentral:rRNA from 1 species